rnacentral:tRNA from 1 species
GCCGUCGUAGCUCAGACCUUGGCAGAGCUCGGUCCUGGUACGACCGAGGCCACCGGUUCGAACCCGGUCGACGGCU